rnacentral:rRNA from 1 species
CCUACGGGUGGCAGCAGUGGGGAAUAUUGCUCAAUGGGCGCGAGCCUGAAGCAGCGACGCCGCGUGAGGGAUGACGGUCUUCGGAUCGUAAACCUCUGUCAGCAGGGAAGCACGGUCACUGUGCUAAUCAGCAGUGAAUUGACGGUACCUGCAAAGGAAGCACCGGCUAACUCCGUGCAAGCAGCCGCGGUAAUACGGAGGGUGCGAGCGUUAAUCGGAAUUACUGGGCGGAAAGCGCUCGUAGGCGGUAUGGAUAGUCAAGGGUGAAAUCCCCGCGCGCAACGUGGGAACGGCCUUUGAAACUGGCAAACUGGAGUGUGUGAGAGGAUAGUGGAAUUCCAGGUGUAGGAGUGAAAUCCGUAGAUAUCUGGAGGAACAUCAGUGGCGAAGGCGACUAUCUGGCAUAUAACUGACGCUGAGGAGCGAAAGCGUGGGUAGCAAACAGGAUUAGAUACCCCUGUAGUC